rnacentral:rRNA from 1 species
GAUGAACGCUGGCGGCGUGCCUAAUACAUGCAAGUCGAGCGAACAGACGAGGAGCUUGCUCCUUUGACGUUAGCGGCGGACGGGUGAGUAACACGUGGGUAACCUACCUAUAAGACUGGGAUAACUUCGGGAAACCGGAGCUAAUACCGGAUAAUAUUUCGAACCGCAUGGUUCGAUAGUGAAAGAUGGCUUUGCUAUCACUUAUAGAUGGACCUGCGCCGUAUUAGCUAGUUGGUAAGGUAACGGCUUACCAAGGCAACGAUACGUAGCCGACCUGAGAGGGUGAUCGGCCACACUGGAACUGAGACACGGUCCAGACUCCUACGGGAGGCAGCAGUAGGGAAUCUUCCGCAAUGGGCGAAAGCCUGACGGAGCAACGCCGCGUGAGUGAUGAAGGUCUUCGGAUCGUAAAACUCUGUUAUUAGGGAAGAACAAACGUAUAAGUAACUGUGCACGUCUUGACGGUACCUAAUCAGAAAGCCACGGCUAACUACGUG